AUCGCUUCUCGGCCUUUUGGCUAAGAGCACCUGAGGGGAAAAAAAAUAAUAAUCUGUUCUUAUCAGUUUAAUAUCUGAUACGUCCCCUACCCGGGGACCAUAUAUUAAAUUGAUUUUUGGAACUGGGAGAUGGAAUAGGGGCUUGCUCCGUCCACUCCACGCAUCGACCUGGUAUUGCAGUACCUCCAGGAACGGUGCACUUCCC
ensembl:snRNA U2 U2 spliceosomal RNA